rnacentral:rRNA from 1 species
AUACGGAGGGUGCAAGCGUUAUCCGGAAUCAUUGGGUUUAAAGGGUCCGUAGGCGGGCUAAUAAGUCAGGGGUGAAAUCCCACAGCUUAACUGUGGAACUGCCCUUGAUACUGUUGGUCUUGAGUUACAGUGAAGUGGUUAGAAUGUGUAGUGUAGCGGUGAAAUGCAUAGAGAUUACACAGAAUACCGAUUGCGAAGGCAGAUCACUAACUGUAUACUGACGCUAAUGGACGAAGGCGUGGGGAGCGAACAGGAUUAGAAACCCUAGUAGUCC